rnacentral:rRNA from 1 species
CGGUGUUUAACUGGCGUGAUGUGGGACGUCCUACCGGUGGGCUUAGCCUCGCGAGGGGCGGCCCAACUAAUAUCCCGUCGCGGUGCUCUUUACUGAGUGUCGAGUCGGGCCGGUACGUUUACUUUGAACAAAUUAGAGUGCUUAAAGCCAGGCUAUCCUCGCCUGAAUACUGCGUGCAUGGAAUAAUGGAAUAGGACCUCGGUUCUAUUUUUGUUGGUUUUCGGAACCCCGAGGUAAUGAUUAAUAGGGACAGAUGGGGGCAUUCGUAUUGCGACGUUAGAGGUGAAAUUCUUGGAUCGUCGCAAGACGGACAGAAGCGAAAGCAUUUGCCAAAAAUGUUUUCAUUAAUCAAGAACGAAAGUUAGAGGUUCGAAGGCGAUCAGAUACCGCCCUAGUUCUAACCAUAAACGAUGCCAGCUAGCGAUCCGCCGAAGUUCCUCCGAUGACUCGGCGGGCAGCUUCCGGGAAACCAAAGCUUUUGGGUUCCGGGGGAAGUAUGGUUGCAAAGCUGAAACUUAAAGGAAUUGACGGAAGGGCACCACCAGGAGUGGAGCCUGCGGCUUAAUUUGACUCAACACGGGAAACCUCACCAGGCCCAGACACCGGAAGGAUUGACAGAUUGAUAGCUCUUUCUUGAUUCGGUGGGUGGUGGUGCAUGGCCGUUCUUAGUUGGUGGAGCGAUUUGUCUGGUUAAUUCCGAUAACGAACGAGACUCUAGCCUGCUAAAUAGGCGUACCUUAUGGUAUCGCGAAGGCCCCCGGCUUCGGCCGGUGGGUUUUUACUACCAACGUACAAACAAAUCUUUUUAGAGGGACAGGCGG